GGCUCAGUGGUUUAGGGGUAUAAUGUCCGCUUAGGGUGCGGGAGGUCCCGGGUUCAAUUCCCGGCUGAGCCC
rnacentral:tRNA from 1 species